GAAAUGCGAUAAGUAGUGUGAAUUGCAGAAUUCAGUGAAUCAUCGAAUCUUUGAACGCACAUUGCGCCCUUUGGUAUUCCAAAGGGCAUGCCUGUUCGAGCGUCAUUUGUACCCUCAAGCUUUGCUUGGUGUUGGGCGUCUUGUCUCUAGCUUUGCUGGAGACUCGCCUUAAAGUAAUUGGCAGCCGGCCUACUGGUUUCGGAGCGCAGCACAAGUCGCACUCUCUAUCAGCAAAGGUCUAGCAUCCAUUAACCCUUUUUUCAACUUUUGACCUCGGAUCAGGUAGGGAUACCCGCUGAACUUAAGC
rnacentral:misc_RNA from 1 species